rnacentral:rRNA from 1 species
AAGAGACAGCAGCCGCCGCGGGAAUACAGAGGGUGCGAGCGUUAAUCGGAUUUACUGGGCGUAAAGCGUGCGUAGGCGGCUAAUUGAGUCGGAUGUGAAAUCCCCGAGCUUAACUUGGGAAUUGCAUUCUAUACUGGUUAGCUAGAGUGUGGGAGAGGAUGGUAGAAUUCCAGGUGUAGCGGUGAAAUGCGUAGAGAUCUGGAGGAAUACCGAUGGCGAAGGCAGCCAUCUGGCCUAACACUGACGCUGAGGUACGAAAGCAUGGGGAGCAAACAGGAUUAGAUACCCCCGUAGUCCCUGUCUCUUAUAC